GCCAGGCAUUGUGGCGCACGACUAUAAUCCCAGCAACUUGGGAGGCUGAGACAGGAGUAUCACAAGCAAAGCCAGCCUCAGCAAUGACAAGAAGCUAAGCAACUCAGUGAGACCCUGUCUCUA
rnacentral:sRNA from 1 species